AUAAAUAAGCGGUGGAAAAGAAACCAACAGGGAUUCCCUCAGUAGCGGCGAGCGAACAGGGAUGAGCCCAGCGCCGAAUUCCGCGUCCCAAAGGACGUCUGGAACAUGUGGCGUUUAGGAGGAAUCUCUCCGGAGGCAGACGGUGUCGCAAGUCCCCCUGAACGGGGCUGUGAUCCAGAGCGGGUGCGAGGCCCAUAGCUGGUACUGUCUCCUUCGGGUGUCACCUCCUUGGAGUCGGGUUGCUUGGGAGUGCAGCCCUAAUUGGGUGGUAAACUCCACCUAAGGCUAAAUACGUCCGUGAGACCGAUAGCAAACAAGUACCGUGAGGGAAAGUUGCAAAGAACUUUGAAGAGAGAGUUCAAGAGUACGUGAAACCGCUCAGAGGCAAACGGGUGGGCCCACGAAAGCCGAAGGCAGGGGGAUUCAGUCGAGAGGACGUUGGGGCAAAGCUGGCUGGUUUGACGGACCGUGCCAGGCCGGGUCAGCUCCCGAGACCCUUCGCCUCUCGACGCAUUUCCCUCUGCUUAGUAGGACGCCGCAACCCGUUGGUGCACGCAGCCAUAAGGGAGAGCGAUGGAAGGUAGCCAGUGAGCACUUCUUCGGAGGUGCGAGCUGGUCCUAAGCCGGCUCUCCUGGUGCUUGUGGCCCGACGGUGGUCUCUUGUCCCUGAACGGGAUGUCGCCGAGCCCUUCUAGACCGAGCAGGUAGAAAUGGCAGGCUGCUUUCCGUGACCAAAAACCGGUUGCUCCACGCGUGCAGUGGACAACCUUCGGAGGCGGCUGUUGGUGCAUUUUCUCCUGCGCUGGGCACAGGCAGUUGGCGGCGAGUAGGUCGGUCACCCACCCGACCCCCAAGGAGUCUAACAUGUGCGCAAGUCAUUGGGUCUUGGACAAGCCCAAAGGCGCAAUGAAAGUGAAGACCAGCACUGAAGCUGGUGGAGUUGGGAAACCGAGUCACUGACGGCUCGGUUGCACCAACGGCCCGUCCCGUCCGCAUUGUCGGUGGGGCGGAGCGAGAGCGUACACGUUGGGACCCGAAAGAUGGUGAACUAUGCCUGGGCAGGACGAAGCCAGAGGAAACUCUGGUGGAGGUCCGCAGCGGUUCUGACGUGCAAAUCGAUCGUCAGACCCGGGUAUAGGGGCGAAAGACUAAUCGAACCAUCUAGUGAGAAGUCCGGCUUGCNUGACCGAAGCCCGGACGAAAGGAUGAGAGUGCCCAGUGGGCCACUUUUGGUAAGCAGAACUGGCGCUGUGGGAUGAACCAAACGCUGGGUUACGGCGCCCGAUGCGAGACGCUCAUGAGACCCCAUGAAAGGUGUUGGUUGCUAUUGACAGCAGGACGGUGGCCAUGGAAGUCGGAAUCCGCUAAGGAGUGUGUAACAACUCACCUGCCGAAGCAACUAGCCCUGAAAAUGGAUGGCGCUCCAGCGUCGAGCCCAUACCCAGCCGCCGCGGCAGAUGCUGAGAAGCUUAUGCCGCGGUGAGUAGGAGGGUCGCAGUGGCGUGCGUUGAAGGUGCCGGGCGCAAGCCCGCCUGGAGCCGCCACUGGUGCAGAUCUUGGUGGUAGUAGCAAAUACUCAAGUGAGAACCUUGAGGACUGAGGUGGAGAAGGGUUCCAUGUGAACAGCAGUUGAACAUGGGUCAGUCGGUCCUAAGGAAUAGGAGAAAUCCGUUCCGAAGCGGGACGCAUAUUUGACGGAACUGUCCCGCCCGCUGACCGAAAGGGAAUCGGGUUAAUAUUCCCGAACCCGGACAAGGAGAUCGGCCCCUCGGGGUCAAGUGCGGUAACGCAACUGAACUCGGAGAAGUCGACGGGAGUCCCGGAGAGAGUUUUCUUUUCUUUGUAAGGGUUUGGCUCCCUGGAAUCGGUUCGUCCGGAGAUAGGGAUGCUAUUCCCGUAAAGCAUCGCGCCUCCUGCGGUGUCCGGAGCGCUCCUGUCGGCCCUUGAAAAUCCGAGGGAGAGAGUGUGAUUUUCUUGCCGGACCGUACCCAUAUCCGCAGCAGGUCUCCA
rnacentral:rRNA from 1 species